rnacentral:rRNA from 1 species
CCUACGGGCGGCAGCAGUGGGGAAUAUUGCACAAUGGGGGAAACCCUGAUGCAGCGACGCCGCGUGAGUGAAUAAGUAAUUCGUUAUGUAAAGCUCUAUCAGCCGGGAAGAAAAUGACGGUACCUGAGUAAGAAGCCCCGGCUAACUACGUGCCAGCAGCCGCGGUAAUACGUAGGGGGCAAGCGUUAUCCGGAUUUACUGGGUGUAAAGGGAGCGUAGACGGGAGUGCAAGUCUGGAGUGAAAGGCGGGGGCUCAACCCCCGGACUGCUCUGGAAACUGUACGGCUGGAGUGCAGGAGAGGUAAGUGGAAUUCGUAGUGUAGCGGUGAAAUGUGUAGAUAUUAGGAGGAACACCAGUGGCGAAGGCGGCUUACUGGACUGUAACUGACGUUGAGGCUCGAAAGCGUGGGGAGCGAACAGGAUUAGAUACCCUAGUAGUC